UUGGCCACUCCGCUCCAGUAUCUGGUCUUGAGAUGCACCAAUGAGAUUUUGCAUUGCUGGAGAGUCGCCUUGCCAUGUGGCUGGUGGCUUGCUGGCGUCUUUACAUGCUGCUGGUCAUGGCGGCGGCUGCAGUAUCUCUGGUCAUGGCGGCGGCUGCCGCCAGGCCCUUUCUUAUGCCCUGAAGAAAACCUACCAAAUGAAGGCUUUUAAAAUCAAUAGUGAUGCUGAGGGGGAGAUAUAGAAAGAAGGUCCCGAGAAGGAGAGGCCCAGUUGUCUCACAUCGACUGGAAUAACAUUAAGAGCGGCCACGAACAACCUGGAGAACGCGGAGAGAUCACCAGGCUGGCAGCAGGAACUGUGAGGCUUUAUUGGAAGAUGAGAAAGGCCAGCCUCAGGGAAAGCAAGUGGGGAGUACGGGAUUUCAGGACAACCGCCUUCUGGCUGUGCCCCACACAGUUCCUGUUCCCCAAGGCACUCACUGUUUCUUGUUUGUAGUAUGCUCUUCCAGGGAUGUUGUGUGUGUCUAAAAACAAACGAAGUAAAAUCCUUCUACUGUUGUCCCGCCACUUCGAUAUUCUGCCCAAGUGCAUGUGGCCAACCAAGCAUCAUCGACUGAGCUCUUGGGAACCAUGAGGGAAAAAGCACCGUUCCUCCCAUGACUUGCUUUUGCUAGAUAGUUUUGAUGGUGAGCUGAGAAAAGUAGCUAACACAAUGUCUUACCAAUGUCUUCAACACAUUAAAAUACCCAUUCUUUAAUUA